CCUACGGGAGGCAGCAGUGAGGAAUAUUGGUCAAUGGGCGCGAGCCUGAACCAGCCAAGUAGCGUGAAGGAUGACUGCCCUACGGGUUGUAAACUUCUUUUAUAAAGGAAUAAAGUGAGGCACGUGUGCCUUUUUGUAUGUACUUUAUGAAUAAGGAUCGGCUAACUCCGUGCCAGCAGCCGCGGUAAUACGGAGGAUCCGAGCGUUAUCCGGAUUUAUUGGGUUUAAAGGGAGCGUAGGUGGGCUGUUAAGUUAGAUGUGAAAUCUGGCGGCUCAACCGUGGAAUUGCAAUUGAUACUGGCAGGCUUGAGUGUAGUUGAGGUAGGCGGAAUGCGUGGUGUAGCGGUGAAAUGCUUAGAUAUCAUGAAGAACUCCGAUUGCGAAGGCAGCCUACUAAGCUGCCACUGACGUUGAGGCUCGAAAGUGUGGGGAGCAAACAGGAUUAGAUACCCGAGUAGUC
rnacentral:rRNA from 1 species